rnacentral:rRNA from 1 species
UACCCUCGGGUGGGGGAUAACCUCGGGAAACUGAGGCUAAUACCCCAUAGGCCUCGGAUACUGGAAGGUUCCGAGACCGAAAGCUCCGGCGCCCGAGGAUGGGUCUGCGGCCUAUCAGGUAGUUGGUGGUGUAAAGGACCACCAAGCCUACGACGGGUACGGGCCCUGAGAGGGGGAGCCCGGAGAUGGACUCUGAGACACGAGUCCAAGCCCUACGGGGCGCAGCAGGCGCGAAACCUUCGCAAUGCGCGAAAGCGCGAC